UGCGUCUUCGAAAUUUAUGAU
rnacentral:piRNA from 1 species